AGUAACGGCGAGUGAAGCGGCAACAGCUCAAAUUUGAAAUCUGGUCCCUAGGGCCCGAAUUGUAAUUUGUAGAGGAUGCUUUUGGCACGGUGCCUUCCGAGUUCCCUGGAACGGGACGCCAUAGAGGGUGAGAGCCCCGUCUGGUCGGAUGCCUAGCCUCUGUAAAGCUCCUUCGACGAGUCGAGUAGUUUGGGAAUGCUGCUCAAAAUGGGAGGUAUAUGUCUUCUAAAGCUAAAUAUUGGCCAGAGACCGAUAGCGCACAAGUAGAGUGAUCGAAAGAUGAAAAGCACUUUGAAAAGAGGGUUAAACAGUACGUGAAAUUGUUGAAAGGGAAGCGCCUAUGACCAGACUUGGGCCCGGUGAAUCACCCAGCGUUCUCGCUGGUGCACUUUGCCGGGCACAGGCCAGCAUCAGUUUGGCGCGGGGGAUAAAGGCUUUGGGAAUGUGGCUCCCUCGGGAGUGUUAUAGCCCAUUGUGUAAUACCCUGCGCCGGACUGAGGUACGCGCAUUGCAAGGAUGCUGGCGUAAUGGUCAUCAGCGACCCGUCUUGAAACACGGACCAAGGAGUCGUCCUCGUAUGCGAGUGUUCGGGUGUUAAACCCCUACGCGUAAUGAAAGUGAACGCAGGUGAGAGCUUCGGCGCAUCAUCGACCGAUCCUGAUGUUCUCGGAUGGAUUUGAGUAAGAGCAUACGGGGCCGGACCCGAAAGAAGGUGAACUAUGCCUGUAUAGGGUGAAGCCAGAGGAAACUCUGGUGGAGGCUCGCAGCGGUUCUGACGUGCGAAUCGAUCGUCAAAUAUGGGCAUG
rnacentral:rRNA from 1 species